CAGAUUUUGAUUUUUAAGGCUGAACUGUUUCUAUGGCUUUCUCUGGAAACUCUGCUUCCCAGGUACUUUCCAUGGUACCUUCCUGACCAAAGGUUAAAGAGUCCAGAGUGUAAAGCUUGCAUCCCUGGUAGUCCUCAGGUCUGGAGCUGAUGGGCUCAGAGCCAUGGGGUGUGUGUGGGUAGCCGGCCAGGCCUUGCUGAGGCUGACUUGUCUUGUCUCUGCAGUAUGUGAAGGAGUCUUCACAACCUGACAGUUGACUUUCUCCUUGCUGAGGCUGUUUCUACCAUUUCUUGCACUCUGUCCAUUCAUGGUGUUUCAAAGUGGGCAGGUAAGUGCUGUGUUGAUGCAUUUUUUGGAUCCUUGGUUGCAGGUUAAAGAAGAAAAGAUAGUUGAACUAGAAACAGAAAAUGCUGUUCUGUCCCUGAGAUUGGCAGAGAUAACGAAGUAAUGUUUUGCUCUGACCAAUGAGCCACAGGAAUGGCUCUAGAUGUGGUCAUCGUAUACUACCCUGAAAGAACCGCCAGAGUUCCAGGACGGCCACCUUUCACUUAAGCAAACUUGUCCACAGACUGUGUGGGUCCCAUCAGCUGAGAGUAGCCUUCACAUUGCAGUGAUGUGCAUAUUUCUGCUUUUCAGCCACGAUGGACUUUAGGAUCUUCCCUGAGGACCCUACACGAACCACAGGUGACCUGGAUGCAGAAGUCCUACCUGUAGCUGCCAUCCAGGGCAUAAGUCCCUCAGUGAGUGAAUUCCAGAUGGUUCUGUCUAAAGCAGCAUCGAGCAGGCCUUCAGAUGACGAUGUGGAACUCUCACUCUCUCUGGCACCAUGAAUACCUGGUUGCUGCCAUGCUCCCAGCUUGAUGAUACUGGACUGAGUCUCUGAACCUGCAAUCCUGUGUUCAUUAAUGUUGUCCUUAUAAGAGCUGCAUUGGUUGUGUGUGCCUCUUCUCAACAGUAAACACUUAACUGAGACAGUGUUCAUGUUCCCUUCUUCAGGUUCCAGGCUUUAGCAGCUUCAAAGAUGAGCUGCAUUCUCUUGGGACUAUGGGACCAGAAGCC
ensembl:lncRNA